UACGGGGGGAGCAAGCGUUGUUCGGAUUUACUGGGCGUAAAGGGCGCGUAGGCGGCCAGCACAAGUCAGUUGUGAAAUCUCCGAGCUUAACUCGGAACGGUCAACUGAUACUGUGCGGCUAGAGUGCGGAAGGGGCAACUGGAAUUCUUGGUGUAGCGGUGAAAUGCGUAGAGAUCCGGAGGAACACCAGUGGCGAAGGCGGCUCGCUGGACCUGACCUGACGCUGAGGCGCGAAGGCGUGGGGAGCGAACGGG
rnacentral:rRNA from 1 species